AUGGUUAGGGCCCGAGGGGGGGGGGUCCCUAGAUGCCCACAAGACACCAGGGCACGCUAUAGCCCCCAAGUGUGCCAUGGUGGGUGGUGGGCAGCCAGCCCAUCUCCGGUGCCCAUCUUCUGGUAUAUGAGGUAUUUUGACCUAGAAAAAAAUAAGGAGAGGACUUUCGGGAUGGAGCGCCACCGUCUCGAGGCCGAACCUGAGCAGGAGCACUUUUUCCCUCCGGCAGAGCGAUUCCGCCGGGGAACUUCCCUUCCGGAGGGGGAAAUCAAAAGUCAUCCUCAUCACCAACAACCCUCUCAUCUUUGGGAGGCCAAUCUUCAUCAACAUCUUCAACAACACCUUCUCCUCUCAAACCCUAGUUCAUCUCUUGUGUUCAAUCUUUGUAUCGGAACCUCAGAUUGGUACAUAUGGGUGACUAGUAAUGUUGAUUACAUUUUGUAG
rnacentral:rRNA from 1 species